UACGGAGGAUGCGAGCGUUAUCCGGAUUUAUUGGGUUUAAAGGGUGCGCAGGCGGCGGCUCAAGUCAGCGGUAAAAUUUCGGCGCUCAACGCCGUUCGGCCGUUGAAACUGUGCUGCUCGAGUGCGUGCGAUGGUGGCGGAAUGCGCGGUGUAGCGGUGAAAUGCAUAGAUAUCGCGCAGAACCCCGAUUGCGAAGGCAGCUGCCAAGCACGCGACUGACGCUCAUGCACGAAAGCGUGGGUAUCGAACA
rnacentral:rRNA from 1 species